rnacentral:tRNA from 1 species
GCGGUGGUUCAGUGGUAGAAUUCUCACCUCCCAUGUGGGAGACCCAGGUUUGAAUCUCGGCCAAUGCA